rnacentral:tRNA from 1 species
GAUAAUCGUGCAUGAGCCGCUAACUCAUCAAAAACAAAUACUUGUUAUUAUCC